rnacentral:rRNA from 1 species
CAGUAGCCGCGGGAACACGUAGGGUGCGAGCGUUAAUCGGAAUUACUGGGCGUAAAGCGUGCGCAGGCGGUUUUGUAAGACAGGCGUGAAAUCCCCGGGCUUAACCUGGGAAUGGCGCUUGUGACUGCAAGGCUAGAGUGCGUCAGAGGGGGGUAGAAUUCUACGUGUAGCAGUGAAAUGCGUAGAGAUGUGGAGGAAUACCGAUGGCGAAGGCAGCCCCCUGGGACGAGACUGACGCUCAUGCACGAAAGCGUGGGGAGCAAACUGGAUUAGAUACCCCGGUAGUCCCUGUCUCUUAUAA